AGCACGGACUUCGGUCUGGUGGCGAGUGGCGAACGGGUGAGUAAUGUAUCGGAACGUACCUUUCAGUGGGGGAUAACGUAGCGAAAGUUACGCUAAUACCGCAUAUUCUGUGAGCAGGAAAGCAGGGGAUCGCAAGACCUUGCGCUGAUUGAGCGGCCGAUAUCAGAUUAGCUAGUUGGUGGGGUAAAGGCCUACCAAGGCUACGAUCUGUAGCGGGUCUGAGAGGAUGAUCCGCCACACUGGAACUGAGACACGGUCCAGACUCCUACGGGAGGCAGCAGUGGGGAAUUUUGGACAAUGGGGGCAACCCUGAUCCAGCCAUGCCGCGUGAGUGAAGAAGGCCUUCGGGUUGUAAAGCUCUUUCGGCCGGGAAGAAAUCGCAUCAGCUAAUACCUGGUGUGGAUGACGGUACCGGAAUAAGAAGCACCGGCUAACUACGUGCCAGCAGCCGCGGUAAUACGUAGGGUGCGAGCGUUAAUCGGAAUUACUGGGCGUAAAGCGUGCGCAGGCGGUUGUGUAAGACAGGCGUGAAAUCCCCGGGCUCAACCUGGGAACUGCGCUUGUGACUGCACAGCUAGAGUACGGCAGAGGGGGGUGGAAUUCCACGUGUAGCAGUGAAAUGCGUAGAGAUGUGGAGGAACACCGAUGGCGAAGGCAGCCCCCUGGGCCAGUACUGACGCUCAUGCACCGAAAA
rnacentral:rRNA from 1 species